rnacentral:rRNA from 1 species
AGUUGCGGACGGGUGAGUAACGCGUGAGUAACCUACCUUUAUGAGGGGGACAACAGCUGGAAACGGCUGCUAAUACCGCAUAAGGCCACGGUGUCGAUUGGCACAGUGGUAAAAGAUUUAUCGCAUAAAGAUGGACUCGCGUCCCAUUAGAUAGUUGGUGAGGUAACGGCUCACCAAGUCAACGAUGGGUAGCCGACCUGAGAGGGUGAUCGGCCACACUGGAACUGAGACACGGUCCAGACUCCUACGGGAGGCAGCAGUGGGGAAUAUUGGGCAAUGGGCGCAAGCCUGACCCAGCAACGCCGCGUGAGGGAAGAAUGUCUUCGGAUUGUAAACCUCUGUCCUUGGGGACGAAAAAAAUGACGGUACCCAAGGAGGAAGCUCCGGCUAACUACGUGCCAGCAGCCGCGGUAAUACNUAAGGGAGCAAGCGUUGUCCGGAAUUAUUGGGCGUAAA